UACGUAGGGUGCAAGCGUUGUCCGGAAUUAUUGGGCGUAAAGAGCUCGUAGGCGGUUUGUCGCGUCGAAUGUGAAAUCCCGGGGCUCAACCCCGGGUCUGCAUUCGAUACGGGCAGACUAGAGUUCGGUAGGGGAGUCUGGAAUUCCUGGUGUAGCGGUGAAAUGCGCAGAUAUCAGGAGGAACACCGGUGGCGAAGGCGGGACUCUGGGCCGAUACUGACGCUGAGGAGCGAAAGCAUGGGGAGCGAACAGG
rnacentral:rRNA from 1 species